rnacentral:rRNA from 1 species
GACGUAGGGGGCGAGCGUUGUCCGGAAUUACUGGGCGUAAAGGGCGCGUAGGCGGCCGGGCAAGUCUGGUGUGAAAGCCCAGGGCUCAACCCUGGAAGGGCACUGGAAACUGUCUGGCUUGAGUUCCGGAGAGGAGGGGGGAAUUCCCGGUGUAGCGGUGAAAUGCGUAGAUAUCGGGAGGAAUACCGGUGGCGAAGGCGCCCCUCUGGACGGGUACUGACGCUGAGGCGCGAAAGCGUGGGGAGCAAACAGG